GUUCAGUGUUAGUUACGCCUUGUUCGCCCCAAGGGAAAAGUUUGAAGGGUGAUGACAAAUGCCUUUUGUGCUUGCAUCAAACAAUGAAAUCAUGUUACCCCGGGCGGUGUUAAUUUACACAGAGCUGAUUUGGGAGGGGCAGCAAUGCUAUUCAUUCAAGACUUUUCAGAGAUUGCGAUCUUGUGGCCCUUGAUUUUCAAUGUAUUUUCAAUGUACAUGCACAAAACGAACCAAUACUUUUGUGAUAUUUAGCCUAUAGAUGUUUGUGUGGGUAUUUGUAUGAGUGUAUCAGAGUUUGUGUGUGUGUGUGUGUGUGUGUGGUGUGCACCCCUCCCACAGGGGUGUGGCUGCUGAGGAGUGUACGUGUGAGAAGCUGGACUUCGUGGCUGCCAAGGCGCUCAACAAGGAGAGUCUGGUCCAAUUCACUGAAGACUACAGCGUUAUUCUCGCCCUGAUCGUUUUGUGGCCCUCAUCAACAUGGUGAGCCCGGGAUGGGUUCAACUCUAGAAACAUUGUCCUAAGGUUGUAGAAACAUUGUCCUAAGGUUGUGCAAACAUUGUUUUGAGAUGGACCAACACCAUAUCACCAUAUAACCAGUGCAAAAUCAAAAGUGUUUCUUUUGUGUUUCUUAUACUGUAUGUUGUAGUCAGUCUGCUGUCAGAUGCUCCAAGGAAGCAACCCAUUAAAUGUAACAUACACAGGGUUCUAAAAUUCCAGUAACUUUCCCCAAAUUCCCAUCUUUCGCAGAUAUCGUGGUUAGAAUAUACCUGAAAUCAGAUGGAAAUAAGCAUAUAAUCUGAAUCCUCCAACCGGGAUUUUUGGAAAACCAGGCAAUUUUCUGGACAAUUAUCAGAAUUUUGCAACCCUAACCAUGCAUGUAAUUUCCUGUGUAAAAAAACAUUCUAUAUCAUUGUACGUGCUGUUUGUGCCCUUUACGUGUGCUGCUUUGAGGAGUACAAUGACUCUCUGGAGGCCCAGAUCUGUGAGCUGCCGGAGAGGCUGGCUGGCCAACAGACCACCUCCACUGUCCUAGCUGUCCCUGAAUGCAGCCUGGAUGCCGUGGUGGAGAGACUGCUUAAGGAGAGGGAUCAGAGCCCGUGUGACGUGGAGGAGCUGAGGAGAGAGCUGGACUGUCUGUAGGAGCAGUAUGAGCAGACCGUCCAGCAGAGGACACUCAUCCGACUGGAGUGGGAGGACGUUGGCCUGGAAGUGGAUGUAAAGACUGCAGACUGUCUGGCACUGAGGGAGCAGGUGGAAAUCUACCAGGAACAACUGGCUCACAUGGAGGCACAGCAUGAAGAGAGAAGGGACAUCUCAGAGAAAGGUCUGGCCGGAUGGCCAACAUCAAUUACACAAAACGGUUCAGAACAUGGUGGUCCCUGUAGAAGGUCCAGCUGCAGCAGGGAGAGAAGUCCUGGAGUUUUACAACCCUGACAUCCAGGAUAUCAAGGAGUACUACAGCCAGCUGGCUGAGACCCUUCAGCUUGCUGAGUUCAGGGAAACUGGUGUGGUUGGAGCUGGACAGGAGCUGGUGGUGGCUAGAGCUGCGGGGGUCAAAGCCGUUGCCCAAAUAACAGACGUCAACGAACUGAAGAAACUGAUUGUAGAGCUUGAUAAGGAGGUUACAGAGCUGGAGAGGUGAGAUUGAGAUGAAGAGAGAAGCAAAUGUGGAGGAGAUCGCUGACCUGGAGUGUCGUAUUGAGGAGAGGCAGAAGCAGCAGCAUGGCCUGCAGGUCCAGAUGAGGGAGCAGUGUGGGGACUACGAGGGGCUGCUGGGUCACAAGAUAGCCCGGGACAUCGAAAUUCCUGCCUACAGGUGAGACCUUUCACUGAUGUGUUUCACCGACAGGGCCACAUGCACAACAACAGAUAACAUACAGUGUGAUCAUCAAGGCCUCUGUAGUAGUGAAAAAGAUGGAGAGGUCCUGCAUUGUUUACUUAUGGGCUUGUUCAGGACAGAAAAUUAAGUACCCAAAACCCAUGAAAAAGCACACUUAGAAAGACCAUGACUAACCUUAAUAUAAUAUUCUCUGUAGUUUUACAAUGACAAUAGCAUCUUCAGAUGACGUGAUGUUGACCUAAUAUUUGAAAUUUUCUUCACAAUAUUUGUGUAGCCCUACAUUGUGAACGUGUGAGUAGUAUGGGUGACAGAAUGUCACCUGGGCAUCCCCAUAUCCAUAAUAUCCAUAUUAAGACAUUCCUGAGGACAAAGGCCUGACAUCCGAGGUCAUCCGGGGUCACAGAAAACAGGCCCUACGACAGUCACAGAAAACAUGAUGCAAUUUCCUGUCCGAUGUCCAUGAAGAAGUAUUUAUGUUUCUGUCUUACCGCCCUCCUGUUUUGUGUGUCCGUCUCUGUGUGUGUGUGUGUGUGUGUGUGUGCUCAACCAUCUGGCAUCCUGGUAUGUAAGAAGGAUGCACUUUGCCCUUCCUGACCCCCUACCUUUGGACAACCCUUCGCUCACCCCUCUGCUGCUCUGAACACAUCCUCGUGGCUCAGGAAGAGGCAGCCUCACACAAUGCCUCAUUAGAAUGGACAGGGGGACCUCACACUGUUGGGACAAUUGUUAAGCCACUUUAUCAUCCAGCCUGUUAAUGUCAGCAGCCCCGCAACACAGUCAGCCUUGUAGCCUUCUUUAAAUACUGGUCCCCCAACAGACUGUUCCAAAGACAUACACACACACAGACUCAAGACACACACACACACACAUUUUUAUUAACACACACACACACACGCACAAAAAUGUAGUCAAGGCGCAGGCAGACAGUCUGGGGGCCAAGUUGCCUAACUUUUUUACAGCGCUGUUUUGUCAUCCGUGAUUAAAACCAUGAAUAAGAAAUGAACAUCUGAGAUGUUUUCUUCUCUCCGUGCUGCAGAACAGAGUCUAAUGACACUAAUGCCACCUGUAAAAUGUAUAGAGUCUAAUGACACUAGUGUCACCUGUUAAAUGUACACCGAGCCAUUUGGACCAGAUGCUCACCGUCACUUUCAGCCUUAUUGAUUAAAACACACUGUUUUGCAAUGAAGGUCUACAGUAGC